rnacentral:rRNA from 1 species
ACAGCAGUAGCCACGGUAAUACAGAGGGUGCGAGCGUUAAUCGGAUUUACUGGGCGUAAAGCGUGCGUAGGCGGCUUUUUAAGUCGGAUGUGAAAUCCCUGAGCUUAACUUAGGAAUUGCAUUCGAUACUGGGAAGCUAGAGUAUGGGAGAGGAUGGUAGAAUUCCAGGUGUAGCGGUGAAAUGCGUAGAGAUCUGGAGGAAUACCGAUGGCGAAGGCAGCCAUCUGGCCUAAUACUGACGCUGAGGUACGAAAGCAUGGGGAGCAAACAGGAUUAGAUACCUGUGUAGUCCCUGUCUCUUAUAC